rnacentral:rRNA from 1 species
UAAGCAUAUUACUAAGCGGAGGAAAAGAAACUAACAAGGAUUCCCCCAGUAACGGCGAGUGAAGCGGGAAGAGCUCAGGUUGUAAAUCCGGCCCUUUGGGCCCGAAUUGUAGUCUGGAGAGGCGACGCCAGCCGCUGUCCGCGGCCAAGUCUGAUUGGAAAUGAGCAUCAAGGAGGGUGAUAAUCCCGUUCGGGCCGCGGUAUCAAUCAGCGUGCGGAAGGCGCGCUUUCGACGAGUCGAGUUGCUUGGGAUUGCAGCUCAAAGUGGGUGGUAAACUCCAUCCAAAGCUAAACACGGGGGGGAGACCGAUAGCGAACAAGUACCGUGAGGGAAAGAUGCAAAGAACUUUGAAAAGAGAGUUAAAGAGUGCCUGAAAUUGCUGAAAGGGAAGCGAAGGAAAGCAGUGUCGUCGGUAGCGCUUCUCCGUGGCCCCCUCGGGGGCUCGGCUUGCGCUCCGGCGUGGCCAGGGAUGGGUGGAUCUUUCUCGCGGGAUGCUGCGCGCCCGGAAGGUAGCUCUCUUCGGAGUGUGAAUACCGGCGCGUUUUGUCGCGAGUCCGGCCGUCCCUGACGAAAUGUUUUUCUUUACCCCGUCUUGAAACACGGACCAAGGAUUCUAACA